rnacentral:rRNA from 1 species
UACGGAGGGGGCUAGCGUUGUUCGGAAUUACUGGGCGUAAAGCGCGCGUAGGCGGCUCUUUAAGUGACUGGUGAAAUCCCCGGGCUCAACUCGGGAGGGUCUGGUCAUACUGGGGAGCUGGAGUGUGGGAGAGGUGAGUGGAACUCCUGGUGUAGCGGUGAUAUGCGUAGAGAUCAGGAAGAACACCCGUGGCGAAGGCGGCUCACUGGACCACAACUGACGCUGAGGCGCGAAAGCCAGGGGAGCGAACGGG